rnacentral:rRNA from 1 species
GUCCACGCCCUAAACGAUGUCAACUGGUUGUUGGGAGGGUUUCUUCUCAGUAACGUAGCUAACGCGUGAAGUUGACCGCCUGGGGGAGUACGGCCGCAAGGUUAAAACUCAAAGGAAUUGACGGGGACCCGCACAAGCGGUGGAUGAUGUGGUUUAAUUCGAUGCAACGCGAAAAACCUUACCCACCUUUGACAUGUACGGAAUCCUUUAGAGAUAGAGGAGUGCUCGAAAGAGAGCCGUAACACAGGUGCUGCAUGGCUGUCGU